AUGACAAAUCUACUGUUCAAUCAUGAAUCUACUAAUCUACAUGAUGGGAUGUUACGUCUGACCACAAUUAACUAAACACUAACAAAUAUAAAAAAAUUAAAAAUAAACAAUUCUUGCAAAUAAGUUACAUGUACGUUCAAUACUAGACUUGAAGAGACAUCUAUCAACAAGUUAAUACACAAAUCCUACUUCUAAUAACAUGCAUAACUAAUCUAAUAAACAUGAUCACUAUUUAAGUAAAGUUGAUUAUUAUGAGUGAAAUUAUUUAAAUCUGACCACUUUUUUACUAAUUGUUACCUUCCUUUUAACCUGAUUGGAGUUGAACUUAUGAUGAAUUUUUGGCUGUGAUUGGGGUUUUACUUACCUUAGCUCUUGCCUCUCUGGCAGCUUCAGCUUCAGCUGCCAUGGCUCGUUGAAGUUGAACAGGCAAGCGAACAUCUUUACUGUUGGUUGGAAUGAUUAACGUUGAAUUGGAGGGAAGAUAAUAAGCAGUCAUUAGUGUUUAUGUUUAUAAUGGCUAAGGAUGUGCUGAAUUAUGAAAGGUCAAUUACAGGCCAAGUGGAAGACUUACAUUUCAACCCUUUCUACUUUGAUUCCCCAAAAAUCAGUUACAUUGUCCAAAUAUUGCUGAAAGUGAAAAAAGAACAGAAAAUCAAUGAUUGAAAAGCGUUAAUUGAUCGACAGCUGGAGGGAAAAGAAUCCAGUCUAACCUGCAUUGAACUUGAUAUUGAUUCUCGAUCUGAAAGUAUUUCAUGAAGAUUAUGUGUUCCAAGCAUGUUUCUCAAUGUUGUUUGAGCAAGUAAUCGAGUUGAAUGGUGAGCAUUUUCAACAUUAGCCACUGAAACAGUAGCAUUUUGUACUCUAUAGUAAACAACUGCAUCAACUGAAACGGUAACUGAAUCCUUGGUCAAAACCUCUUGCGGUGGUACAUCAAAUGUCAAUGUUCUCAAAUCAACUUUGGUAUAAUUUUCAAUACAGGGUAAGAUGAAAAAUAUUCCUGGGCCCUUGGCACCGCCGUGUAACAAUCGUCCCAAUCGGAAGAUAACAGCUCGUUCAUAUUCUUGGACAACUUUGAGAGUAACAAAUAAGGAAAGUGGGAAAGUCAACAGAAAUAGUGCAAUGGACAUUCCUGUCAGAACAAAGCCGAAAAAAUUUUGACUCGACCCACCAGAUUCUGUCGGAGUAAAUCAUAAACAAUCGAUUAAACAAACAUCUCAAACAUACAAGUAAAUGUAACGACAAGUCUCAAUAAUGGAUUGAUAAUAGUCUCAUUCAUUGGCCACUAACCAAUGCUGGUUCCAAAAACAAUUUUAUAAUUUUCCUGACUUAAGAUUUGAAAACAGAAUCAUUCCUGGGAAUGAUUAAUUCAAGUCAACAGUUGAUUAUCCAGAUGAAUUCUUGUUUUAUGCCAUUUGUAAAUUCAGAUUCAACAAAUGGUUGCUAAUUCAAUGAUAUGAUUGAAAAAUGGUGAAAUUAAGUCCAUAACUAGAUGGUCCUAAGAUUCAAAUCUGAUCGUAUAAAUGACUGGUUGACUGGAAGUUUAUCAACAGGAAAAUCCCUAUUAGCUUGAUUGCUGCUAUUAAUAUCAAAUCGUAUUUACAUUUGUACUUUUAUGGUUAUGUAAAUGUUAUGUGGAUCUAGUUAUUGGAAAGUUGCUAUUGAUUUGUAAUUAGCAUGGUUUUAUUUAUUCAAGUUAGACGUUAACUAUCAAGAAAACAAUUGGAUAAAUUGAUGAUGAACGUGCAAAGAGUGAAUAGACGAGAAAAUGGAAACUUUUAAACUAAAGUUAAAAUCAUUAUUGAACGAUCAAUUGACUGACUUUUGUUAGGAAAUCAAAUAAAAACCUGGAUCCAAUUGUCAUUGAUUAAAUACAGACUAGGAUCGGGUUAACAUUUGAUGCUAAUGAAAUUGGCUGAUUCAAAUACACGAAAAAUGGUAAUCAAUUGUGCGUGUUCAUCUAUACUUUAUCACAUCCACCCAUUGGGAAACAAUGAUAUCUUGAACUUUUUUCAUUUAUUGCUAUAUUUAUUCAUUUAAAAUAUCAACUCGUUACCUUGACUUAUAAAUAAUGCAACCAGAUUUUCAAAUUGCAAAUUCAAAAACUGGAAAAUGCUAAUUACCCAUUUCAUCCAGAAAUACCAAUUUUAGCCCCAAAUUUACCGACUAACUUUGAAAUUGUUACCUUUAGCAACCUUUACUUUACAAUAUUACAACUAACAAAAUUCAAGUUGGUUACAAGUUAGUCAGUCAAAACCCUGAAGUCAUUUCAAUUUUGAUCAGCUCUGAAUUAGGAUUUAAGGUGACAUUCACAUCAAGAUGAAAAGUUGAUCAAAAUUCUGGCUAAUUUUUGUAAAACA